rnacentral:rRNA from 1 species
GUGAAUACAUAGCGUAAUGAAGCGAACCGGGGGAACUGAAACAUCUAAGUACCCCGAGGAAAAGAAAUCAACCGAGAUUCCCCCAGUAGCGGCGAGCGAACGGGGAGCAGCCCAGAGUCUGAAUCAGCAUGUGUGGUAGUGGAACGGUCUGGAAAGUCCGACGGUACAGGGUGAUAGUCCCGUACACAAAAGUGCAUGUGUUGUGAACUCGAAGAGUAGGGCGGGACACGUGGUAUCCUGUCUGAAUAUGGGGGGACCAUCCUCCAAGGCUAAAUACUCCUGACUGACCGAUAGUGAACCAGUACCGUGAGGGAAAGGCGAAAAGAACCCCGGCGAGGGGAGUGAAAAAGAACCUGAAACCGUGUACGUACAAGCAGUGGGAGCCUCUUUAUGGGGUGACUGCGUACCUUUUGUAUAAUGGGUCAGCGACUUAUAUUCUGUAGCAAGGUUAACCGAAUAGGGGAGCCGAAGGGAAACCGAGUCUUAACUGGGCGUUAAGUUGCAGGGUAUAGACCCGAAACCCGGUGAUCUAGCCAUGGGCAGGUUGAAGGUUGGGUAACACUAACUGGAGGACCGAACCGACUAAUGUUGAAAAAUUAGCGGAUGACUUGUGGCUGGGGGUGAAAGGCCAAUCAAACCGGGAGAUAGCUGGUUCUCCCCGAAAGCUAUUUAGGUAGCGCCUCGUGAAUUCAUCUUCGGGGGUAGAGCACUGUUUCGGCUAGGGGGUCAUCCCGACUUACCAACCCGAUGCAAACUGCGAAUACCGAAGAAUGUUAUCACGGGAGACACACGGCGGGUGCUAACGUCCGUCGUGAAGAGGGAAACAACCCAGACCGCCAGCUAAGGUCCCAAAGUCA